AGGUCAGCGUGAAACAAGCAGGGACGCAGAUCCAAACUCACCCGCGGCUGCUGUUUCUCUUACACGAUGGCACACGUUCCCAGGGUUACAGUCUGCCUGCUGCUGGUUCCUCAUUAUGGUUCAGGCCCACUACCACAGCUUGCCCUUCAAACGCUGGUUUCUUUUCCGCUCACCCCGGAAAUGCCAAGAUCGGAUUUUCAAAGUUGCAGCAACAACCUUCUGGGCAGACUUUUGCGAAAGGAUCAUUUACAAAGCUGGAAGCCGCCAACUUCUCUCUUCACAAAGUUGUGUUUGUGUGUGUGUAGACAACAGGUGCAAGUCGCCAUGAAUGAGAAGAGUCAACACCUGCAAACUGACUCCAAACCACGUAUUCACCUCAAAUGAACGCCUCCAUCCAGACAGAUGUGCAUCUGGUUAACAACAGGCAUAAGUAUGUCGCUGAGCCAGAACACAAUACAUCACCACCUCUCCGGAACAUGACUCAUUUUCGCAGGCUCCAGUUUUGGGCACAACCUUGACGCUGUGGUCCUGAAGCCACCCGCGUUUGUCCUCUUGGCAUCUGGCUGCGAGGUGGAGGGGACUCGCCGGGCCUCCCUGCAAGAGGCGAGGCUGCAGGAAGGCUUGGCAGCGGCCCAGAGAGGAGAGGUGGCUGGAGUAUUAACUCCCCCCACAUGGAAGGUUAAAACCCUCUCAAAGCUUCCUCCCUCCCUCGGCUGCAUUAGCACGGAACAUAUGCUCUUCAAAAACAUAUGCUCAGAAAGAGAAAUUCCCAUUUUGAAUGAAAAUAAAUUAAAAAGUAGCAAAUGUAAUGAUGCCUUUUCAAGCAACAUCAAAAACGAUUAGAGGAUGCGAUGGCAGGCUGGGUUGAUUUAUCACACACAUAUUGUCCCAAUUAGCAGGAUCAUGGCGAUGGCGGAGGCUGCUUGACCUUCUCGUACCGUCCUCAUUUGUAUCGUGUCAACUCAACAACAGCUCCUAAAUCACUGCUCCUCACUCCCUGGCUGAACUACCUAUUGCACUACUUCAAUCUGUGAUAGCAAAGACAGGAGGGAGGGACUUUCCAAAACUGUGCGCUUGUGCUCCUGCAGGACAAGUGUAAGUAAAAGGAGUAAUGAAUAGGAACAAUUGUAGGUAAACCCUCUGAAAGACAUCUUUCAAAAUGUUCACUGCAACUCUUAUGUGGGAGUUUAAAUGUUUCCUUAUAAAAAAUAUAGGAAAUAGUACUUAUACCUUAAAGGUGAUAUAAAAAUAUAAAGUAGUGAAAAGCAGACACUAAUUGAUUAAAUGUAGAUAGAAAACAGAAAGUUGAUACAGGAGGAAGUAGACAAAGGAGAUACAAACAGAAAGCCAAAGCAAAACGUAUCAAAUAAAUAAAGGUAAAGGGAAGUGAAAGUGUGUUGAAAUGAGUCUCUGGCUGUUUGGGGUAAUGGCUGACGUGUCAGCUCGUAUGUCUGUGUCACACCGCUGGCCAAGGCCGCCUCCCGACUGGCCUUUCUGGGUGUCAGUGUGUGUGUGUGUGUGUUACUCUCUUUUUGGGGGGCGGCUUCGAAGGGAGCGCAUGGAAAUGAGUCCCAUUCAUCCCUCUGCCCACGACCCCCCCGGCCCCCCCCGAUUGGCAUAUGGCAUGGCAUUGUCCUUGGCCGCUGAGCCAGAAGUGAUGCAAUUUGUUGGCAUGUCCUGUCAUCUCACAAACUACCCAUCCCAUUGAGGCCUCCAGAAAACAAGAGCAGAAGACAUGGAAGGGCGGCCAACAGCUCGGCUCCGGCGAGCGCCGAGCCAAAAUCCCUCCAGAGGAAAAAUAACUAGCUGCAUUCACCAACAUGUGCAUACGUUUUUACAAAAAACAACAGGGAAACAUGUGAAUGUUUUUGGAAAUGUGGAAAAAGUGUUCGCGUUGACUGAACAAUGUAAGUUAAUUAAUUAAAUUAAUUGAAAUGUCAUUUGUUUUUUACACAAGACCAAAUAAAAGCAAAAAGUUUAACGUGGCAGUCAAAAUGCAAAUGACAAGAAUAAAAGUGCAGCGAGUAGAUAAAGAUUUAGUUGUUUCAAAAUCUAUGUUCACACACUGAAAGCAGGUGGAAUGUGAGACUGAAGGUAGGAAUUCCUAAUAUGAGCCAAAAAUCUGAUGCAAAAUCAAACUUAGUUAAUAAGAUGAAUGCGAUCUUAGUCGGCGGCUAAUGAAGAAAUCACAUUAGCAAGAAGCUAACGUUUAGCUGCCUAGAUCACGCUCCUCACUGCCUAAUCUUUCCUCAUCUUACAUCGUUUAUUUCUCCCCGAUUUCAAGCUCUUCUGAUUCACCACAAUCUGUCUUUAAGUUCUGGAUCAGAUUCUUUUAUUUGUUUUUUGUGUUGUGUUUGAGCUGGAAAACGAAUUAAUAAAGUGAAACAACUCUAAUGGAAGUGAAAAAAAACGAACCCUUUAGUUAAACUUUAAUGCCAGAUGGAAGUUUAGGAGUUGGUGUGUGAAUAUGUUUAUAUUAAAGGUAGAACGAUUAGGGCUGGUGGUGUAGAUGAUAAAUUGAACUGGUGUUCGGAAGAAAGUGUUUUAAAUUGAGAUGAGUUGCAAUUACGAAAAGUAGUGAAAAUAAAUGUAUACGUAAUAGUGUGAAAUCUUCAAACGUGAAACCUAAAAUUGUCCGUCAAAGUCAAUGUAUUGAAAGAAAUUUCUGAUGGAAGAGACAACAAAAAGUGAUUAACACACUCAGAAGUUCAGUGACGUGAAGGCAGUUUUCAUUCUGACAGCGAGACCUGAAAGCGUUGAUGUGUGAGCGGUGAAAUUAGUUGAAAUUUCCCAGAAAUAACAACAAAAACUAUUUUUUAGCAUCUCAGCAGAAGAUACAUCGCUCACACAUCAAAGGAAUUGAUAAUUCACGCAACGUCUGAAUGAUCUUAUUCUCCAGCCGGGGCUUGACCCCAAGCUGUCCAAUGUUUAAUUAACUCUCAAAGACUUCACGGGGGGUCGAGGGCAAAAUCUUCAAAGAAUAUGACCACUGCUUUGUGAAACAUGCGAUCCAGCUCCACGUCCCAUUGUGCAGAGUUUGCUCAUAGUUGACCUCACCUUCUGUUGGGACAUCCCGAUGAAAGAAGCGCCGGCUCGGACCGCCGAGACAAAGAGGAUUUCUCUCCGGGGAAACUCUGAGCCGUCAGUGGGGGCCGCUGCCGCCGCUGUGGUCGGACGUCUCAUCUGUUGCUUAUAGAGACUCAUGCCUGAAAAAAGACCAACUGAGAGAUUAGUUGAUGUUUAUCUCCUUUCGUGUGUUUGGCUGAAAAUGGGCGAACCCCGUGGAGAGGCUGCUUUUGUGGAUUCCGGGGAGAAAACAUCCUCUCCAUUAACGCACAAACCUCAAUUUGUCUUUUGUUCUGACAUCAAACGUUGUCCACGCUCGGCACAACAGCCGAGAAACCAACACCCAAAGUGAUGUUCAUUUCUCUGACGUGGAGGAGUUUCCCUGUGCUGCCUCAGCGGUGAAUGUGUGUUCUCAUUGCACAACUCGCUUCCUCUCAGAUCACUGUGGGAUCUUCUCACACGUGCAGUCAAUUCUUUUGGUGGAUCGUGACGUCUGAGAGGCUCGUUGAAGACAGACAGCAGCGGUGUUUGUGUCAUAUGAGCUGGCAGUAACGUGUUUGUUUCAAAUACCAGCCUCGAUAUGUCAGCGAAAGAUACAUUGUGUGAUCGUUAUUUAUUAUUUGUUUUGGUCGCCUCUUUAAAAUGUUUUUUGUUUCAUUUUUAAUUUUAAAAGCUUAAAAAAAUUGACAGAACAGAGAACACAUAUUAUUCUAAGGAAAAUAAUUGAAAAGCAGAAAACAAGAGCAUAAAUCAAACAUAAUCAAUUUCCACAGCUUAACAAUACACACCUACAAUAUGCAUACGGCAUAUCGUAGGUGGAGAGUGCAGGAUGUUUUUGGAGGCCCAUCUGAAGCCAGUUGAGUGACAGCGUGGCCCCUGACAGCAAAAACAAUAGAGAGAUGCUGGAAAUUAAUAAACUAUUUCUAAAGAUAUUAACGGAAAUUAUCUCUAUAUAUUUUUUCGUCCCUUGCAAAUAUACGUGAAAUGAAAUUGUCAUACCUGCAGCUUACCAGUAAAGUCUAUUAACAGACUGUUCUCAUAGUGGGUCAGAAUGAUGGAUGAUCUCCAACCUGAUAGAGACAAAACAUGCAGUAAAGAGGCAACACGAAAAGGAAAGUUUUGUCUUUAUGUAAAGUAAAUUUCGUGGUUUUUGUGUUCUGCGGCGCAUUUCUUCAUUUUGCAGUACUGUUUCUUUAUUUUGUGUUUUUGCAGGUACCUUUAAAUGGGCAAAGCCUCUGAAGCUUCGGCAUUUCUCUCGUAAGAGGCCAUGUUGGCGUGAUGGCACUUGUUGGCCAGAAAGCAAAACUACUGAGCAGCAUGAAUUCUUUAUGAACUCUAAUGAAAAAUUAUUGAUUUGGUUUAUUCAUCUUUUCUGUGGACCCGAGGACUUCAUUUUUGUAGUCCAAUUCCAUAUUUCUCGUACGUUGUGCUCGUGAGCCACGUCAAAAUCAGCAAGGCGACUCACUCCAGAUGUGAACGUCACCGUGAUCGCCUGUGAGCAAAUGAUGCUUUUAAACAGCAUAAUUAACCCACCAUAAUACCGUUGAAGGCCUCGUGUUCAGAUCAAACAGCAUAGAGUGCCGUCAACGGCCCCCCCCUGAGGGCCGUACAGUCACACAAGUUUUGACAUGAGAAACGUCUGGGUGACGUCAGCUGUCAGACACGUUCCCGAGGACAUGAACCUGCGUGUGAAGAUCGAUAUGAAGAACUGUGCUCAGGACGACGCUCAGGACGCUGUCUUCUGAAGACACCGUCUCCUGCGAGGGUCUGACGCUCUGAGGCCUCCGGAAGAACAAAAUACAGAGACCAAUCAGCCUCCGAAGUGUGAGGGAUGCAGGUCGUUUUGAACCUCAAGAUGUUCACAUUGAUGUUGUGUCGUCAUACAAUAGCAUCAGAUGUCAUUUUUUAAAUAUAUAUACUAGAGUCAAAAAGAUAACUUAAUGCUGUAAUUUAUACCCUGAGAGAUUGUUUUAAAGUAUUGAAAUAGAAAAUCCCAAACCACAAUAAAAGCAGACGAAUUGCACUUUACUCGACAAAUUGCACUCGACUUUAAAAAAAGUCAAAAUAUAAAAGAUGUUGUGCAUAAUAACUACUAAUAAGUCACUUAAGCAUAAAUCUGUUUGACGGGGUAGUUGUUGCAAAAGACCGGUUGUGGUCACACAGUCAGGUUUGAAUUUUAGCGCGCAUGUGGAAAAAAGGAAUACUUUGAGAUGAAUGUUGCU
ensembl:lncRNA